rnacentral:misc_RNA from 1 species
CGGACUACUGGGGUUUCUAAUCCUGUUUGCUCCCCACGCUUUCGCGCCUCAGCGUCAGUUACAGGCCAGGAAGCCGCCUUCGCCACUGGUGUUCCUCCACAUCUCUACGCAUUUCACCGCUACACGUGGAAUUCCGCUCUCCUCUUCUGUACUCAAGCUCCCCAGUUUCCAAUGACCGCUCACGGUUGAGCCGCGAGAUUUCACAUCAGACUUAAGAAGCCGCCUGCGCGCGCUUUACGCCCAAUAAUUCCGGACAACGCUUGCCACCUACGUAUUACCGCGGCUGCUGGCACU